rnacentral:rRNA from 1 species
AUUGAACGCUGGCGGCAUGCUUUACACAUGCAAGUCGAACGGUAACAGGCCGCAAGGUGCUGACGAGUGGCGAACGGGUGAGUAAUGCAUCGGAACGUGCCCAGUCGUGGGGGAUAACGCAGCGAAAGCUGCGCUAAUACCGCAUACGAUCUAUGGAUGAAAGCGGGGGACCGUAAGGCCUCGCGCGAUUGGAGCGGCCGAUGUCAGAUUAGGUAGUUGGUGGGGUAAAGGCUCACCAAGCCGACGAUCUGUAGCUGGUCUGAGAGGACGACCAGCCACACUGGAACUGAGACACGGUCCAGACUCCUACGGGAGGCAGCAGUGGGGAAUUUUGGACAAUGGGCGCAAGCCUGAUCCAGCAAUGCCGCGUGCAGGAAGAAGGCCUUCGGGUUGUAAACUGCUUUUGUACGGAACGAAACGGCGAGCUCUAAUACAGUUUGCUAAUGACGGUA